AGUUAUGUGGCGAUUGUUGAGCCAUUCAUAAUGCUGGGGUCGGUGGUUCAAGUCCACCCGUAGCUACCA
rnacentral:tRNA from 1 species